GUUUCACCAUGUUGGCCAGGCUGGCCUUGAACUCCUGACCUCAGGUGAUCUGCCUGCCUUGGCUUCCCAAAGUGCUAAGAUACAGGCGUGAGCCACUACACCCUGCCAGAACAUUUUUGAUACCCCAAAAAGAAGCCUUAGUCAUCACCCUGUUUUAUAACUCAGAAUAUGUUAUGUUUUCUUUUUAAACCUACAAGGCUACUAAACUAAUUUAAUAUAAACACCUCUUUACCAAACUCCAAGAAAUAACCAAGUUGUUCUAUUGUUAUUGGAAUUGUUUCAGAAUAUAUUCUAAGCACAAGCUCUUCCGGCUCAACUUCUUUAAGGAUCUCAUCAGAGGGACUGCUCCUCUAUCGAUAAACACCCAUGCACCUAUCUUUGUGACCUCUUAGAACCUCACUGACCUGAAGCCCAUUCUUAGGCUGUGGGUCUUAGGGUACUUCUCAAGCUCUCGCCCUUUGUUGGGCAUUCUGGUCUCUAGGAAUGCAGUGGUGAGCAGUCCCUGGUCUAGGGGGUCUCAUGAUGUUGAGGUUGGACAGGAGGGUCUGUGCAUAGAGGACUCACCUCUGCUUUUCCCCACUCUGUGGAUGGUAAAGGGCACGGGCAGCUUGUUCUGCCUCUUUGAGGCUUGUUUUGUUUUUUUAACUCUAAAUCCAGACUUUAUGUAUUGAUGUAUUGCUGUGUUGAUUCAGUUUUAAACUAGCCAGUCCCUGGCACAUAGAUAGUAAGCAUGCAGCAAGCAUUUGCUGAAUAAGUGAAUUUGAGAAUGAAUUGGAGGUAAAGCUCAGGAAACCUUUCUUGUGUACUGCUACUGACCAUCAUACCUGUCAAGCGGGAUACUGGGCACUUUUACCUCUUGCCAGCCAAGCUGGAUGUAAUUUUCCUUCCUCUGAAAUUCCCAUAGAGUAUAUCUGCCCCAAAGCUACAUUCAUUUUAUACGUCUAUUACUUCUUACUACCCUGUUUUCUGUUUAUAACCCCCCCUCUUCCAAUCCCACUCAGGUAAAACUGUGUAUAAUUGUGGAGAGUGACAAUGGUUUAAUGACCUUGGAUAAAUUGCUGCUUGAUUUCUCCAGCCUCAGUUUCUUCAUCUGUUAAGUGAGGAUAGAAAGAGUAUGUUAGGACUGCUGUGAGGAUUAACUGAGCUCAUCCACAUGGAUCAUUCAGAACAGAGCCCAGCACUUAAGUGUCAGCUGUUUUGCCAUUUCUCACUGUUGUAUUUGCCAGAGCACUCGAGUACUGCCUAGUGCUUUUUUGGUAUUCAAAUGUAUGUUUUGAAUGGGAA